rnacentral:ncRNA from 13 species
AGGAGAGUAGUUCAAUGGUAGAACGUCGGUCUCCAAAACCGAGCGUUGAGGGUUCGAUUCCUUUCUCUCCUG